GUUCCCGGAUUGGUAAAGUUGAUGUUUUCACUGCAUGUUAGAAUGCUUUUUGUGUGUUUGGAUUUCCAUGCAGUUGAAAGUCUACAUCCGGUGGUAGGUGUUCCUUGAUGUAAUUUGCAAUGUCAUCAAUUUCGUACGAGCCAACAGGCAAAUGUAUUUCUUGACUGUAACCAUCACUUUUUACGAAUAAAAUCUUACAGUCUUUUUCGUCGAUGUUCGGUAUGGUAUUGUAAGUUUGAAAAUCCACGAGUCCGAUACACAAUUCACCAUCCAAGUCCAGAGGCGGAAAAUGAAUCGGCCGCAGCCCCGAACUGUGAUCUGGCCGCAGCGCGCGCAUGUUCGGAGCUGGCUGGCAACCCCACACGGCCACUGAUGUCACGUGGCUGCCGCAAUGUGAGACGUGCCGCGCGCGCCUGGUGGUUCACAAGGGAUGCCGCUUCCCCUUCCUCCUGCCCUACGCUCCCAGCGUGACACACUGCCUUCGGCGCCUUUACCUGACACCUGGCAGCUGUGGGGAGCUCCGUGGGCCGCCGCGCGAGCUGCUGACGCCUGUCUCGAUAAUUCUGGCGUCUGGUCGGCGCGGAAUGAUGCGACUGGCCCCAGCUGAGCUCGUGAAUUCUAGAAGUGGCGCCUGGGCCUAUGUAAGCCCAGGACGCCGGCCUCUCGGAGUUCAGUUCAGUUCUGGUACAAUAGUCUGGGCGAUACUGCCGCGGGUGCGGUGAGAGUCCCGAGCGAAGCGUCGAGCGGACCCUCGGCAAAGGGAAGUGCGACGGCGGCGACGGAGGACCACGAGGGAUGCUGUGGCGAGAGUUGCGCCAGAGGUGCGGCCCAGCGAGGUGUGCGGUGUGUAAAAACAGUGUGACUGGGGAAUAAACAUUUUUAAAUGUAAUUGAUUAUUAGGCAUUUUUAUAAGAUUAUUUGUUAGUUAUGUCAAUAUUGGCAAUCAAUAAAACUGUGUAGUAAAAUCAUUAA